rnacentral:snRNA from 1 species
AUGAAAAUACCCUUUGUGUGGGUC